rnacentral:rRNA from 1 species
CAGCAGCCGCGGGAAUACGAAGGGGGCUAGCGUUGUUCGGAAUUACUGGGCGUAAAGCGCGUGUAGGCGGGUCCUUAAGUCAGGGGUGAAAUGCCAAGGCUCAACCUUGGAACUGCCUUUGAUACUGGGGAUCUUGAGUCCGGGAGAGGUGAGUGGAACUGCGAGUGUAGAGGUGAAAUUCGUAGAUAUUCGCAAGAACACCAGUGGCGAAGGCGGCUCACUGGCCCGGAACUGACGCUGAGACGCGAAAGCGUGGGGAGCAAACAGGAUUAGAUACCCCCGUAGUCCCUGUCUCUUAUAC